AUAUAUCUUUAAUUACACUUUAAAAAAAAAAUAUGUUAAACACAAGCAUACUUUUACAGAAGUUUUGGUGUAUUGAGAAAAAAACAUAUAUUUUUUAAAAACAUGUACAUUAAUUUUAAUAGGCUAACAUUGCAAUUUCAACAUCAUAUCAUUGAACAUGCAUUAUAUAUUAAUUUUACAAAGUUAAUCCACAUAAAUUUGUUAGUGUUUAUAUUCAAACAAGACACGUGACGGACGUGACUAAACCUCAUUGGUUCUUGGGAUUCAGUACGUCACAUUGGCUUCCUGAUUCUGUUGUUCGACACACAACGUGCGUGAUCGUUGGUAAAUGUGGAUUAAAAGUUGAAACUAAAACGGUUAAAUUAUAUAUAGUGAUCAUCAGAGGACUUGGCUGAAACAACGCAAUUCUCGGCAAUGUUUUUAUUGUUGUUGCGAUUAACUUUUUGAAAUGUGAGCAGUUUUUAGUUCAAGUAUCAAGUGGAUCUGACAUCGAGGGGAAAUAUAACGUUACGUUUCUUGGAUUUCAUUAAAGUACCUCGGUUUUUGUUUGAAGAUGAAUGAGAGAACAUGAGGCACAGCGGCAUUCAAAUUGACCAAUCAGAGCCGAGAAUUUCUAAUAAGUCGAAGUAGAGAUGAACAGAUGAAGAUACAGCCCAUAAAAAUACUUAUUCUUGGUGAGUGCCAUGUACCGACGGAUCAAACAGACACUCAUGUCAAGCUUGAUGACUACACAGUCAAAGCUUUAAAAGACCUUGUGAUUAAGUCUUCAGUGUCUGAAUGGCAAGAAGAAGUGACCCUUCACUUAAACGUCACAUUUAAACUGCUCUGUGUUUUGGUUCAGCCAUUUGCAGGUUUAUCUCGAGUUAGUUCAAAUGCACUUCUGCAUUUUUCCCAGUAAAUGUUUGUUUAGAGAAUUACAUUAUUAUGAUUAUAUGAAUAUUCAAUGGCUGCAUAUUCAUAGUGUACUUUUCAUAUUGAUGUAUAAAUGUUCCACAAUUUGAUAAAAGUAGCUCAUUGCAUUUCACUGAUCUUUGUUUUUAUAUUGUAAAAUCAUUUCAAUAGCAGUAAAUACAUACUUAGUUGUUUCUUUAACAUUUAAUUAGUUGUUAAUGAUGGAAGAAACCGGUUCGUAUGUAUGAAUACAGAAUAGGUAUCAUUUUAGAAUGAGUUAAAACAUGUUUUGGUGGCAAACAUGCAGGUAAAAUACUACAUAUAUAACAUUCUAAUAGUAUACUGUACUGUAAUUCAAAUGUCACGUACAGUAGAUUAGAAAUGAUUUAUUUUAUGUGUACAAAUGUGUGGGCAAUAUAUUAUUAUUUCAUUUUGUAUGCUAUAUUAUUUAUGUAAUAUUAUUAUAUCUGAAAUUAUUAAAUUAUAUUUAUAAAUGUUUAAAAGGUGGGUUCAAAUGUGCUUCAAGUUGUAACUGAAUACAAUUUUAGAAAAUAGCACAGUUGAGUACACUUAGAUUGUUUUAAGUUUGUCUUAACAAGUACUAAAUACUAUUUUUUAGUAUAUUAAGCACAAUUUACUGCACGAAAAUAAAGCGCUUUUGGUACCUUAAGGUUGUGAACUUACAGUGUAUUUUAGUGAACUUUUUCACCUGGGAAUACAUUUGGUAUAUUAUUUUAACAUACUACUAGUAUAUUUUAAAGUAGAUUCGUAAAUGUUUAAAGGUGGGUUCAAGUUGUAAUUAAAGAUAUUUUUUAAAUACAGACCUAGUAUAUUAAAAUUACAUUUUAGUUCAACUUCAUGGUGUCUCAAAAUAGCACAGUUGAGUACACUAAGAUGGUCUUAAGUUCAUCUUAAAAAGUACUUAAUACUACUUUUUAGUAUACUAAGUUCAAAAUUAGUGUGCGAAAAUAGAGCACUUUUAGUAUAAUGUGGAAAGUGUACUUAAAUUGUGUAUUUAAGUGAACUUUUUUCACCUAGGAAUACAUUUGGAAUAUUAUUUUUACAUACCAUUAGUAUACUUUAAUGUAUAUUUAAAAAUGCUUAAAGGUGGGUUCAAGUGUACUUCAAGUUAUAAUGAAAUAUAUUUUUUUAAAUACAGACAUAGUAUGUUAAAAAUACAUUUUAGUUCAACUUCAUGGUGUCUCAAAAUAGCACAGUUGAGUACACUAAGAUGGUAUUAAGUUCAUCUUAAGAAGCACUAAAUACUACUUUUUAGUAUAUUAAGUUCAAAAUUAGUGUGCGAAAAUAGAGCACUUUUAGUAUAUUGUGGAAAAGUGUACUAAGUGUACUUAAAUAAAGUGUAUUUUAGUGCACUUUUUUUUCACCUGGGGGGUACAAUGGUUUCCGUCUAUUCCUAUUGUUUAAUAUAAGCGAGUAAUUUAACUAAUAUAAUGUUGUUCUGUUUUAAUAAAAAUAAUAAUAAACACAUACUAAGCAUUAUGGAAAAUUAUGAGACGCGCUAUCAAGGUACAGUGUUUUCCGUCUAUUCCUAUAUUUAAUAUAAGCGAGUAAUUUAACUAAUUUAAUGUUGUUCUGUUUUAAUAAAAAUAAUAAUAAACACAUACUAAACAUUAUGGAAAAUUAUGAGAUGCGCUAUCAAGCAGUUUAUUUCGUGCAUAUACUGUAAGGCAAUGAUAUUGAAUACCUUUAUUCAUUGUAAUAGCAGAAUAUUAUGCAUACAAACAGCGCAUCUAAAUCCGCGUAAUUUCCCACCUAACAGGGAACGUUCCCACAACUUUCGCUAACGUUCUUUAAAGGUUGUGUAAAUGUUAGGACAAAACGUUAUUUAAAUAAUGUUUUUAGAACGUUUUUAGAACGUUAUAAGUAAGAAUUUACGUUCUGGGAAUGUUGGGGAAAAACGUUCUUAGAACAAUGUUCUUGGAACGUCCUAAUGACGUUAUUCAUACUUGAUGAACGUUCUCAUAAAGACGAGAGAAAACGUUCUUAGAACAAUGUUCUUGGAACGUCCUAAUGACGUUAUUCAUACUUGAUGAACGUUCUCAUAAAGACGAGAGAAAACGUUCUUAGAACAAUGUUCUUGGAACGUCCUAAUGACGUUAUUCAUACUUGAUGAACGUUCUCAUAAUGACGAGCUUGUUCUUUGUGUGUGUGUGUGUGUUUGUGUACCUGGUAAUUGUCCCCACAAAGAUAGGAAUACCAGUAUUUUUGUGACCUUGUGGGGACAUUUUGACGACCCCAUGAGGAAACAAGCUUAUAAAUCAAACAGAAUGAUGUUUCUUGUGAAUGUGAAGUAGUAGAAGGGUUUCUUUGAUGGUUGGGGUUAGGGAAUGGGGUAGGUAAGGGGAAUAGAAUAUACGGUUUGUAUGGUAUAAAAUGCAUUACGUCUAUGGAAUGUCCCCACAAAACAUGGAAACCAGAGUGUGUGUGUGUGUGUGUGUGUGUGUGUCCGUGUGUGCGUGUGUUGUAAUUGUGCUUCUAUUCUUUUGCUGUUGUGAUAAUAUUUAAAAAAGAAUAUUACACCUGUACUUCUGCAAUUAUAUCCUUAUUUAUGUAUUUAUUUAUUGGCAAAACAAUUACAAAAAUCAAAUAAAAAGUUAUUUAUUGCAUUUGAAGCUUGAUGCGUAUAUAAAUAAUUAAAUAGCUAUCUGGUCAACUCCUGGUAAAAAAACUCCUGGUUAUGUUACUGUGCAACCCUCCGAGGUUUAUCUGAUCGCCAUUUGCGCAUGCGCACAAAACAACAAAAAGGUCUUGGAAACAGCAACAGCAGAACACUUCUAGAAAAGUCAAAAGAACAUAGAAUUUCCUCCACUGCCUAUUGAAUGCGCCACACCCAGUCCAGUAGGAGGCGCUAAUGACCCUUCAGUUGCCAACCGCCACUCAGGCCAAAAGCGCAGAAGAACAAAAUAACCGGGAAAAUCUGACAGGACUGAGAGAAGAGUAUAACAGCACAGCGGGGUUUCAGAAGCCCAUCAGAGUGAAUUUCUGAGUUCUUUCACAUAUGCUGUAUGGUCAGCGAAUGGAUGGAUUAUCCAGUCACGGUACAUAAUGAAAGACUUGACUGAGUUAGAAGAAGCUGAGCGACUCUUCAGAGUGAAGAUGUUAUGAGGCCUGCCAAAAGAUCCACCCAAAAGUGCCAGUUAAGGUGUAAGAAGAGUGCAUUGCAGACACCUUGAAGUACGUUCCUUAUCGUGAUUCAAGAAUGGGGCAUGAAGACACAGGCCAUGGACAGUGCUAGUUUUCAGCACUCACAUCCCACACACACACAAAUUUAUAAAGUUCUCACUGAUUCAAUGUUUUUAUUAAAGCUAGUUAUGUUUUGCUGUCAAUUUAUAUUUUAUUGUCGUAAGUAUUAUGUUAUUAAGUAUUAUGUUACAUUUUAUAUCAUUUUGAUCUGUUAAUGAGUUACGUUGCACCUGGAAUGUUAUCAUUUAAUAAAAUUAUGUUAAAAGAGAA